UUCCAGACUCCUACGGGAGGCAGCAGUGAGGAAUAUUGGUCAAUGGGCGCGAGCCUGAACCAGCCAAGUCGCGUGAGGGAUGACGGUCCUACGGAUUGUAAACCUCUUUUGCCGGGGAGCAAGCGUGCGUUCGUGAACGCGCGUCGAGAGUACCCGGAGAAAAAGCAUCGGCUAACUCCGUGCCAGCAGCCGCGGUAAUACGGAGGAUGCGAGCGUUAUCCGGAUUUAUUGGGUUUAAAGGGUGCGUAGGCGGUCCGUUAAGUCAGCGGUAAAAUUGCGGGGCUCAACCCCGUCGAGCCGUUGAAACUGGCAGACUUGAGUUGGCGAGAAGUACGCGGAAUGCGCGGUGUAGCGGUGAAAUGCAUAGAUAUCGCGCAGAACUCCGAUUGCGAAGGCAGCGUACCGGCGCCAGACUGACGCUGAGGCACGAAAGCGUGGGGAUCGAACAGGAUUAGAUACCCGCGUAAA
rnacentral:rRNA from 1 species